GACGACCGCUGGCGGCGUGCUUAACACAUGCAAGUCCACCGGCAAGGCCCUGCUUUUGUGGGGUGCUCGAGUGGCGAACGGGUGAGUAACCCGUGAGUAACCUUCCCUUGACUUUGGGAUAACUUCAGGAAACUGGGGCUAAUACCGGAUAGGAGCUCCUGCUGCCUGGUGGGGGUUGGAAAGUUUCGGCGGUUGGGGAUGGACUCGCGGCUUAUCAGCUUGUUGGUGGGGUAGUGGCUUACCAAGGCUUUGACGGGUAGCCGGCCUGAGAGGGUGACCGGCCACAUGGGGACUGAGAGACGGACCAGACUCCUACGGGAGGCAGCAGGGGGGAAUAUUGCACAAUGGGCGGAAGCCUGAUGCAGCAACGCCGCGUGCGGGAUGACGGCCUUCGGGGUGUAAACCGCUUUCGCCUGAGACGAAGCGUGAGUGACGGUAAUGGGUAAAGAAGCACCGGCUAACUACGUG
rnacentral:rRNA from 1 species